rnacentral:rRNA from 1 species
AUUGAACGCUGGCGGAAUGCUUUACACAUGCAAGUCGAGCGGCAGCACGGGGGCAACCCUGGUGGCGAGCGGCGAACGGGUGAGUAAUACAUCGGAACAUGCCCAGUCGUGGGGGAUAACACUUCGAAAGAAGUGCUAAUACCGCAUACGUCCUGAGGGAGAAAGCGGGGGAUCUUCGGACCUCGCGCGAUUGGAGUGGCCGAUGUCAGAUUAGCUAGUUGGUGGGGUAAAGGCCUACCAUGGCAACGAUCUGUAGCUGGUCUGAGAGGAGGCUCAGCCACACUGGAACUGAGACCCGGCCCAGACUCCUACGGGAGGCAGCAGGGGGGAAUAUUGCACAGUGGGGGCAACGGUGAUGCAGCCCUUCCGCGUGAGUGAGGAUGGCCUUCGGGUUGUAAAGCUCUUUCGGCAGGAGCGAAACGGCGCGCUCUAACAGAGCGUGCUAAUGACGGUACCUGAAGAAGAAGCACCGGCUAACUACGUGCCAGCAGCCGCCGUAAAAC